rnacentral:tRNA from 1 species
GGUUGUAGCUCAGUGGCAGAGCACUUGCCUACCAUGUGAGAGGCACUGGGUUCAAUUCUCAGCACCA